AGUGAACGCUGGCGGUAGGCCUAACACAUGCAAGUCGAACGGCAGCACAGGAGAGCUUGCUCUCUGGGUGGCGAGUGGCGGACGGGUGAGGAAUACAUCGGAAUCUGCCCAAUCGUGGGGGACAACGUAGGGAAACUUACGCUAAUACCGCAUACGACCUACGGGUGAAAGCGGCGGACCGCAAGGCGUCGCGCGAUUGGAUGAGCCCAUGUCGGAUUAGCUAGUUGGCGGGGUAAAGGCCCACCAAGGCGACGAUCCGUAGCUGGUCUGAGAGGAAGAUCAGCCACACUGGAACUGAGACACGGUCCAGACUCCUACGGGAGGCAGCAGUGGGGAAUAUUGGACAAUGGGCGCAAGCCUGAUCCAGCCAUGCCGCGUGAGUGAAGAAGGCCCUCGGGUUGUAAAGCUCUUUUGUCCGGAAAGAAAAGCUUUCGGUUAAUACCCGGAAGUCCUGACGGUACCGGAAGAAUAAGCACCGGCUAACUUCGUGCCAGCCGCCGCCGUAAAAC
rnacentral:rRNA from 1 species